rnacentral:misc_RNA from 1 species
UUUCCGUAGGUGAACCUGCGGAAGGAUCAUUAUUGGAUUUUGAAACUUCAGGCUGCUGCUGGCUCUCCGCGGAGGGCAUGUGCACGCUUGUUGUCCAUUAUUUCUCCCACUGUGCACAAAUUGUAGACCUUUCAGUAGGCCUAUGUUGUUUUUCACAAUCUCUGAAUGUAAUAGAAUGGUUUUGAAUCUUGGGAAAUACAAUACAACUUUCAGCAACGGAUCUCUUGGCUCUC